rnacentral:pre_miRNA from 2 species
CAUAAAGUAGAAAGCACUACUAACAGCAAUGUAGGGUGUAGUGUUUCCUACUUUAUGGA